rnacentral:rRNA from 1 species
UAAGGAAUAUUGGUCAAUGGACGCAAGUCUGAACCAGCCAUGCCGCGUGGAGGAUGAAGGCCCUCUGGGUUGUAAACUUCUUUUAUUGGGGAAGAAACCGGUUCUUUCUAGAGCCGUUGACGGUACCCGAUGAAUAAGCACCGGCUAACUCCGUGCCAGCAGCCGCGGUAAUACGGAGGGUGCAAGCGUUAUCCGGAUUCACUGGGUUUAAAGGGUGCGUAGGUGGGCAGGUAAGUCAGUGGUGAAAUCUCCGGGCUUAACCCGGAAACUGCCGUUGAUACUAUCUGUCUUGAAUAUAGUGGAGGUGAGCGGAAUAUGUCAUGUAGCGGUGAAAUGCUUAGAUAUGACAUAGAACACCCAUUGCGAAGGCAGCUCGCUACACUAUUAUUGACACUGAGGCACGAAAGCGUGGGGAUCAAACAGGAUUAGAUACCCCCGUAGUCC